rnacentral:rRNA from 1 species
CCCUUAGAUGUUCUGGGCCGCACGCGCGCUACACUGAUGCAUUCAACGAGCCUAUCCUUGACCGACAGGUCCGGGUAAUCUUUGAAUCUGCAUCGUGACGGGGAUAGAUUAUUGCAAUUAUUAAUCUUCAACGAGGAAUGCCUAGUAGGCGCAAGUCAUCAGCUUGCGUCGAUUACGUCCCUGCCCUUUGUACACACCGCCCGUCGCUCCUACCGAUUGGGUGUGCUGGUGAAAUGUUCGGAUCGGCCGUUUGUCGCGGUUUCUGCGUCAUGUGGCUGAGAAGUUCAUUAAACCCUCCCACCUAGAGGAAGGAGAAGUCGUAACA